rnacentral:hammerhead_ribozyme from 1 species
ACACUACUGAAGAGUCCCACAAUAAGACGAAACGUUCGUCCAAUAC